rnacentral:rRNA from 1 species
UGGCGGACGGGUGAGUAAUGUCUGGGAAACUGCCUGAUGGAGGGGGAUAAUUACUGGAAACGGUAGCUAAUACCGCAUAACGUCGCAAGACCAAAGAGGGGGACCUUCGGGCCUCUUGCCAUCGGAUGUGCCCAGAUGGGAUUAGCUAGUAGGUGGGGUAACGGCUCACCUAGGCGACGAUCCCUAGCUGGUCUGAGAGGAUGACCAGCCACACUGGAACUGAGACACGGUCCAG